AGACACACCUGGGUUCCUGGUGCGCUUCACUGCUUCCUGGUCUCUGAUAUCAGCUCUGCCCAAAUUUCAUAUGUCACAGAAUGAGUGAUCCUCGUAGUAUAAUGGAAACGUAUCAUCUCAGUUUCCCCAUGGCCUGAAUGUCCUUACAAAAUGAGAGCCAGUAGGGAAAAACAGAGGACGUGAGGACUUUUUAAAAAAUGAGGAAAAGUGGAAGGAAAAGUAAGAAUGAAGGUGAAGAUGAAGGAAUAUGUCAGAGAUACUAGCACUGGCAUCCCCAACCACACAGUACCAUGUCCUGCUAAAGAACUCUAUAGAACACACAUAUUUCCAAAAGACCUUGGCUCAGGUGUCACUUUUUCAGAAAAUUAUUUACUAACUGUUGACUUGGCCAAAUUCCUGUGCUGUGUUUCCUAGCACAGUAAAUCAACUGUAUCCAGUAGUGGGACAGAUGCAGCAUGAAAGAAGAAAGUUACAAUUGCUUUAUCUGAUGCUGUCACUCAUGCCUGGUGUUGAGAGGCACACAUUUUAAAAAGUCUAAUGGCUCCGACAUAUCUAGGAAACAGAUGGGAAACAAAUGAAGCAUUGAUGGAUUCGCAAAUUCCAGUUCUUUCAUAUUUGUCUGCCCAGGAGUGGGUGGGACAGAGAAAUGUAAGGGAAUAAUGAGGAUACGGGUGUGGAAAGGCUUGUAAUUUUUCCCAUUCUUCUUUGGAUAUGGACUGAAGGAAGGAUGUGGGGAGGAGGUGUUUAUCUUUUGCUUGUACUCUGACCUUUUCCAAAGUUGCUGCAUUCCUUGGGAUAUAAAACUGUAAUCAAGAGUCUCUAAUGGAUAACUGCAAUUAUGCAUUGAGUCAUUCAACAAAUACACAUUAAUACUGACUAAAUUAAGCUUGAAUGGAACUUCAGGGCAAAAGAACAGAGAAAAUAAAAUACCACUAGAGAA
rnacentral:lncRNA from 1 species